CCACCUCAAUCUACCCCUUCUCUCCCGCACCACAUUCUCCGCUUUCUCCUCUUGAAUCCGGGCACCACCGCAUCUGCCUCCUCCUCGUAUAUCACCGCCUCCACAGCACCAGAUCCGGCUGCCAUUGCCAUCUCCUCAUAUGUCACCGCCUCCACCGUGUGGAUCCGGCCGCCGUCGCCAUUUCCUCGUCUGUCACCGAGAAGAAGAAAAUCACGAUCCCCUACACCGCCGAUCCCAGCUCCCGUCACGCACCUUCCAUCACUCCCACCCGAGCCAAUCGACCUCGAUUGCGUCCACAUCCGCGAGAACCUACCCGUCAUCCUCUCUCUGCCAGGUCAUGCGCGGAGCGGUGGGAAUCAUGAAGUGCUCGCCAAUUUCUGACCCCAUCAAGCUGCACUCACGCUCUGCCUCGGCACUGUCGUCCCCUUCAAGAUCUACAAGGCCGUACUCGUGGUCCUCAAAUUCUGCUCGAUCUGCAUUUUUGUGGAUCCUAGAACGAAUAUCGAAUUUAAGAACUGCAUUGUUUGUAAGGGAGCGAGCAUCCAGGCAUGGGUGGCGCCGUGCUCCUGCGGUCCGGCUAAUCAGGUAGGCUGUGAAUACGGGAUACCUCCACACCCUGCUCCAGAUCGUUUCCACGACAGUCUGAUGAGGGAGAUGGUCGCAAUAGUGCUUUUGGUUCAUGUGAAGUAAAAGAACCUUGGGGCUGUACAUGGGAGAGCGGAUUAGGUGGAGAUACGACCAUGCAAGAAUCUAAUUGCACCCGGAUUGAUGAGAGACAUAAUAAUCUGCUUACCGUAGCAAGGUGCAUUAUCUAUUCUCCUCUUUUUCUUGACUUGAUGCCUAAUGUCCUACCACUUUGCGUUUACUAUCAUCUGAAUCUUUCAUCUUUUUAAUCAGGAAGCACCUUGCUAUUAUUUUGGGGUAAUCUGAAUUGUUCAUCUAUAUAUAAUUGUUGCACACUAAGGUCUGUAGUUUUACAUAUGAUGCGCACAGAUGAUUUGUGUACUUGAGUAGGCGCGUAGCACCACAUGAAUUUAUCCGAUAAACUGUUGGUCUGCUAUGCAGUUGAAGAUAUUUUGGGUUUUAUUUCUUAAGAGUAUUGAUUUGUUUGGGUCAGGUUUAGAUGUAUAUGUAGGCUUCCCCUUAAUUUAUGCAAUUUGAUAUUCCUUAAAUCACUUAUUAUAUGGUGAAAAUUCAUGGAUGUUUCUUGUUUGACUGCGAGGGCCACUGCACAUGUUAAGAACCGUCAAAUAAGGUUUUAUUUUGCUCUCGCGUGAAUGGAAUCAUUGGACAUUGAUAUUUUUGUAACAUCAUAACUCUUUAUGAUUACCAGAUGUGCAAUCCUCGCCGAGGACCUCCAAUCCUGAAAAUGUGAUCUUCUGGUUACCAUGUUUUUUACUUUAAUUCGGAAGUAUCUAGCUCAUAUUAACUUUAUCUGCAGUAGCCUAUUUUGGAUAUUGAUAAAGAUAUGAAGUUUUAUGUAGGUUGUCGAUCAUGAAACACUAGAUUGUGGAUGCGUAGUACUAUCUCUGUUCUUGCCGCUGCCUUGGCCAUGGGCAAUGUGGCCGCUACCGGCAGCCAGCGCCUCCACGGUGUCGCGGUUCAUGGCUGCAGGAUGGCCUUGCGGCAUGUGGAUGGCACACAGCGUCAUAUUUCUCCCUUCCAGUGAUGGCUUAGGUACUGGUCUCCAGUGAAAGGCUCCUAACAGUGGAUACUUUUCUUAGCCAGAAUUUUUGUUUUGGUAACUUUUGUUUUCGGUGGCUACUUUUCUUAGCGAUCUGUUCAAAAUCACUAGAAUUUUUUAAGGAUCUGGUAUCCUGCAUGCAUGGAUUAGUUGCCAUACUGAUCAGUUUUUUUCUCUACCGUUUUUAAAGAUUUUUUAACCUUUGUUAAUGCGAGUUGGUACAUAUGUUCAACUGACCCAUUUCCCCAAAAGCUACCACCUACUCUUAUCCUUUAUUUGUCCUAAUUGGUUGAAAUUGUUUCAAUCUAUGGCAAGCCAUACUUUUAAUUCAUGUUCCUACUAGAUUUAGGAGUUUCACAAUAGAAGGUUCUUCUCACUUAUGUAAUAAUUCUCAACUUUAUGUCAUUGUUUCUUGAAAGCAAAUUCCUUAUUUUAUUUGUCAGCAUUGCAACACACAGUUACAGUUUUGUUCUAUUGUUCUAAAUUUGCAAUUCAGUAAAACAAACGGUGAGGGUGUGUGGAUCUCCUUGCUUCAUUAUGCCAUAAGCUAUCAUACCUCUGAAUAUUGCUUGAAAAAAUGAUGUGAAAGUCUCACGAGGUAUGGUGGCAGAUGGACUGAUAUAUAACAAAGAUCUCCUUGAUAAGGAGUGUUUUCAGUCAAAUUUGGGAAUAUUGGAGAAACUAAGUUCUGCUCAUCAUAUUACACUGAAUAUUGACAUGCCAAUGUUUCCUGAUGUUGUUCGUCAUGCCUAACAUAGGCCACUAGAUAUUGUACGUUUUGACAGAGCAAUGAUGGCCCACUUUGUUACUGCAUAAUGAACUCAUCAAGAAACAUGUGGAUACUUUAUGGAUACCCGAGCGUGGUGGGUUCUUAGGUAUUAUGAAUCAUUCUUGAUAUGAUACUUUGGGCCCUUGAUCCCGACCGUGAAAUUGACUACAACGGGGAUGAUAAUAUUGUGCCUGCGAGGUUGCCUCUCAUAUGAAACCUGGCCCAAACUAAUGUACCUCGCUGGAGUGAUUUGUGUACUGUGUAAAUCUUAGAUGAGGAUAUAUACGUUUUUUCUGACCAUUGGUGAACCCUUCGGAAGGAGCACCAAUAUGUUCCGGGCUCUGAUUGCUGAGGGUCACAGCUAAUCUUCAGCUGCAGCUGAACCGAGGUGCACUACUGCAUAUUUUGAUCAAUUGCCAAGUGUUGGCAUAGUAUGCUCUUCACUUCUUCAGAAGUUUCUGAACUCGAGUGAGAUUCUCCAGCGAAAAAAGUUAAGAAGACAAUACUCAAUAUCUACUUCAAUCUUGAUUAUAAACACAAGAUGAGUGUGUGUAUUGUCAAGUGCAAAACUCUGGAGAUUUACUUCAUUGUCAUGCAAUAAUGAAGGAUCCAGGUUUGUGGUCGACACAUUAAAUUUCUGCUCUUUUGCUUAUGGUGACAUCCCAUUAUAAAGGGAUCAUUUGGUGUGUCAUGUGCACCACCAUGACCUCCGUCGAUAAUGCUACAACAUCUUAUACUGUUUUGUCGUUGUAAGUCGAGUUCUGCACACAAAUCAACAAUAAUGCUGCAGCGUUGGAGGCUUGGAGCUGAAUGCUGGAGGCGAGUGGCAAACAUAGGAGGAACGAGUGGAAAUGGAGACUGAUUAGGUAUUUUUUUAAAUUGUUUUGGGGAUAACGCUAGAGAGAGUCUGGAGCUGGGUUAUCUUGAGCCUCAUCAGCUUCUAUAUAUGUAUAGCAUAUGUUACUAAUCUGCACCCCUGCACUCAUCACGACAUCGGAAUAUAUAUUAUGAAAUUGAUUGAGAUCUGUUCAAAUUUUAUUAA